rnacentral:tRNA from 1 species
GGAGAAUUAGUUUAGGUUAGAAUUUUGUUUUUGUAAAACAGCGGUACCUUUGGUAUUCUC